AAGUCGUAACAAGGUUUCCGUAGGUGAACCUGCGAAAAGAUCAUUAACACGUAUCCAAACGUUAAACCCCCCUGUGAACCUUCAGUCGUACUCGUACGUCCGUUAGAAAAAGCAGCAAUCCCUGGUAAAUCAUCGCCGAACAGUUUUCGAUUCAGGGACGUCUGCAAGGAGCGUGCAUGUUGUGCGUGUAAGUGGCCUGGCAUCCCCAAGCAGUUAGUGUCUGAAAGUGUCACUAACGUUAGUGUCUGAAAGUGUCACUAACAUGUGUAAGGAUGACGCAGUCACGAUCGUUGGAGGCCCACACGGCCGACGACCGGGUCACUGGGUGCAAGCCCCCUUAUCACCCCUGCUCUAUCUAUGGUGAUCCUGCGGGAAGUCCUAACUGUUAACAAUGGAUAUCUUGGUUCUC
rnacentral:misc_RNA from 1 species